rnacentral:rRNA from 1 species
AUGGCGGCCGGCGUGACCACCAUCGGGUGGGAAGAGGAGGAACGGCCAGCGGCGGGGCGAGGCCAAGCCCCAGCCCAGCCCUUGCCUGGGCGCUCUGAGAUCCCCAGCAGCAACAAGAAGCCCAGCGCUAGACCGGCCAGGGACAGUAAGGCUCGCCCAGCGGCGGAAGAGGGGCAGGGGCCACCGGGCCAGGAGAUUGAGUUGAGGAACCAGCAGCCGGAGAAGCCGAAGCGGGGGGUGCGGUGGCGGUGCUCGACGGGAUGCGGCGCCUGCUGCAAGCUAGACAAGGGCCCCAAGUUCCUCACCCCCGACAAGGACAAGGCGGACGGGGCUGACCACCUCCAGUGCACCAACUAUGACAAGUCCAACCGAACCUGCAACAUCUACGAAGAAUGGCCAUUCUUCUGCCGGGUCGAACCGAAGGUUUUCGAAGAGUUCUUUGGUGUGCCAUGCAGCAAAUUCGACAGGGAAGCCUGCAGUGCUUGUGUGGAUAACAUAAAGAUGGUGUAUGGUCAGGACUCUCCUGAGCUUGGAAACCUCAAGCGGGUCAUAAGGGAGGAAAGUAGUAAGCAGGAAGCAAGCAUGAACCGGGUUAAAUUGUUGGAUACCACAAAUACUGGUACCUGA